CUAGUUAUGAUAUAAUCAAAUAGUAGAGAAGUGGAAGACGGUGGCUAUCCCGAAAGGUGGUGAUGCUUAUGAGAAUAAGCACUCAUUCUUUGAAAGGAGAAGCCUUUUUGUGACUGUUUUUGAGUCGCUACAGUUAAUGUUUGGCUUUGGAAUGUUUAUCAUUUCAUUGUUGACGUUGA
rnacentral:sRNA from 1 species